AAAUAAUAGAAGAAAAC
rnacentral:sRNA from 1 species